AGAAUCAACGCUGGCGGCGUGCCUAACACAUGCAAGUCGAACGCGAAAGGGGCUUCGGCCCUGAGUAGAGUGGCAAACGGGUGAGUAACACGUGGGUGACCUGCCUCAGAGUGGGGGAUAACGUCCCGAAAGGGACGCUAAUACCGCAUAACAUCCUGCCUUUGGAAAGCGGAGAUCAAAGCCGGGGAUCGCAAGACCUGGCGCUUGGAGAGGGGCCCGCGUCUGAUUAGCUAGUUGGUAGGGUAAUGGCCUACCAAGGCAACGAUCAGUA
rnacentral:rRNA from 1 species